CUAAGGAAAACAUGACUUAAGAAGUCGAGCACUUUCGAAAGAAAGUUGCAAAACCAAGCGUUUUCGAAAGAAAAUCGCUCACUUGUAUUAAACCACUCAUCAUAUUCAGUUUUGAAAGACUUAUUUGUCUUUUAAAUAAGGGCCUAUAGCUCAGCUGGUUAGAGCGCACGGCUGAUAACCGUGAGGUCGAUGGUUCGAGUCCAUUUAGGCCCACCAUUUAAGUGGCUCACUCAGAUAAGAGCAAACCCUUAAAUAUUAACAAUCAUACAUAUUGAUUGAGAUCUUUGAAAAGUAGAUAAAUUCUGUCGUAAGGU
rnacentral:misc_RNA from 1 species